UACAGAGGGUGCGAGCGUUAAUCGGAAUUACUGGGCGUAAAGCGCGCGUAGGCGGCUUUGCAAGUCGGGUGUGAAAUCCCCAGGCUUAACCUGGGAACUGCAUUCGAGACUGCAUUGCUAGAGUAUGGGAGAGGGAAGUGGAAUUUCCGGUGUAGCGGUGAAAUGCGUAGAUAUCGGUAGGAACAUCAGUGGCGAAAGCGACUUCCUGGACCAAUACUGACGCUCAGGUGCGAAAGCGUGGGGAGCAAACAGG
rnacentral:rRNA from 1 species